rnacentral:rRNA from 1 species
UACGUAGGGCGCAAGCGUUUAUCCGGAAUUAUUGGCGUAAAGAGCUCGUAGGCGGUUUGUCGCGUCUGCCGGUGAAAGUCCGGGCUCAACUCCGGAUCUGCGGUGGGUACGGGCAGACUAGAGUGAUGUAGGGAGACUGGAAUUCCUGGUGUAGCGGUGAAAUGCGCAGAUAUCAGGAGGAACACCGAUGGCGAAGGCAGGUCUCUGGGCAUUAACUGACGCUGAGGAGCGAAAGCAUGGGGAGCGAACAGG